AUUGAACGCUGGCGGCAUGCCUUACACAUGCAAGUCGAACGGUAACAGGUCUUCGGAUGCUGACGAGUGGCGAACGGGUGAGUAACACAUCGGAACGUGCCCGAUCGUGGGGGAUAACGGAGCGAAAGCUUUGCUAAUACCGCAUAAGAUCUAAGGAUGAAAGCAGGGGACCGCAAGGCCUUGCGCGAACGGAGCGGCCGAUGGCAGAUUAGGUAGUUGGUGGGGUAAAGGCUUACCAAGCCUACGAUCUGUAGCUGGUCUGAGAGGACGACCAGCCACACUGGGACUGAGACACGGCCCAGACUCCUACGGGAGGCAGCAGUGGGGAAUUUUGGACAAUGGGCGCAAGCCUGAUCCAGCCAUGCCGCGUGCAGGAUGAAGGCCUUCGGGUUGUAAACUGCUUUUGUACGGAACGAAAAGACUCCUUCUAAUAAAGGGGGUUCAUGACGGUACCGUAAGAAUAAGCACCGGCUAACUACGUGCCAGCAGCCGCGGUAAUAC
rnacentral:rRNA from 1 species